UCUUAGCUGAGGGUCCCGCGGGGGCCGAAGCGUUACGUGAAAAAAUUAGAGUGGUUCCAAGGCAGGCCCGAAGCCGCCUGG
rnacentral:miRNA from 1 species